rnacentral:misc_RNA from 1 species
UUAGCUUAAUUAUGUGUUGGUGAAUUUUUUUGUUCUAAGUUCGUGUUUGAUGCAUUUAGGUUUUAUACUGUACUAAUGGUCAUGUGGGUUCUGCAGCAAUUGGGGGACUAAUUGAGGAGUUUAUGGUGUUUAAUGAUGGAUGAUAUGGGUAGUUAUCAAUUUUUGGUCAGUAAGAUAACUAGCUCUGUCUUUGAGAUGUGAUCAGCAACGAAGUCUGAAAUAAGCAUGGUGUAAUAUUCUUAUUGUUGCCGCAUUAGCUGAUUUCUUUAUACUUCUGUUCUCAAAUCUGGCAUUGGCUUUGAUGUUCUGAAAUUCUGCAUGCAAUGCUAACGUCUAUAUGAAAUCACAAUCAUGAAUGUCUGAAAUAGAGAACUUACAGAACUCAGCAACAGCUGUAAAUUAUUGUUUCUCAGAUACACCUCUUUGCUUCUUUCUCUUUGAUAAAGGUUAAAACAAUAAGACUGAUAAAAUAGUAUGCUUUUCAUUUAUCAGUAUGCUUUUCUUUCUAAUUCUCAUACAAUCUAUAAAACAAUCAGAGCAAUAAACUUCAUUCUGUUGCAAUUAGACACUUUUAUUCUGGAACCUUGUUCAUGGAAUGGAAAUUUAUAGGAUAUAGGAAUUCAGUUUGUGGAGUGCUAGUAGCACUGUCAUGCAAAUAUGAGCUUCUAAUGAGUAUUGCAGCUAAGGAAAUGCUUUAUUUGCAGGUACAAGCUAGGGUUUUGUCCAAA